rnacentral:rRNA from 1 species
CUUGCUUCUUUGCUGACGAGUGGCGGACGGGUGAGUAAUGUCUGGGAAACUGCCUGAUGGAGGGGGAUAACUACUGGAAACGGUAGCUAAUACCGCAUAACGUCGCAAGACCAAAGAGGGGGACCUUCGGGCCUCUUGCCAUCGGAUGUGCCCAGAUGGGAUUAGCUAGUAGGUGGGGUAACGGCUCACCUAGGCGACGAUCCCUAGCUGGUCUGAGAGGAUGACCAGCCACACUGGAACUGAGACACGGUCCAGACUCCUACGGGAGGCAGCAGUGGGGAAUAUUGCACAAUGGGCGCAAGCCUGAUGCAGCCAUGCCGCGUGUAUGAAGAAGGCCUUCGGGUUGUAAAGUACUUUCAGCGGGGAGGAAGGGAGUAAAGUUAAUACCUUUGCUCAUUGACGUUACCCGCAGAAGAAGCACCGGCUAACUCCGUGCCAGCAGCCGCGGUAAUACGGAGGGUGCAAGCGUUAAUCGGAAUUACUGGGCGUAAAGCGCACGCAGGCGGUUUGUUAAGUCAGAUGUGAAAUCCCCGGGCUCAACCUGGGAACUGCAUCUGGAUACUG